AAAAAAAAAGUUUCAUCGUCCCGUCAUUGUUUCUGAUGUCUUUCUGACCUCACAUCAUAUUUGGUUCUCCUACUGACCUUUGAUCUAGUUUGACCUUUGAAAUUUGCAUGUGACCUCAUCUAGCUAUGAAUUCUGGGAAGUCAAUGUGAAAAAACAUUGCUGCAUUCAUGCAAGACUGAAAUUUAUUAUUAGACAAAUUAAUGAUAGGAUUUAAAAAAAAAAAAACCAACCUGUGGCAAAAAUGUUUUUUCUUUCUUCUUUUCUUUUUUUUUCUUUUUCUUCUUUCUUUUCAUAUAUAUAUAUAUAUAUAUAUAUAAAAAAAAAAAACAGACUUGAAAGUAUUAUACAGGGAUUGGCAUUCUGCCUGGUCACUGGUGACAAUAGCAAUAUGUGUCCAGAGGCACAGAAUGUUGGUUUCUAACAGACUACUUCCAAAACAGUUUGAGAAAAAAAACUGUCUGAUUUUAAGUCUCUAGAGGUCUGUAAUAGUUUUUACAUUUUUCAGGCAGUGUAAAGUUUUUUGAUAAGGCCAUUUUAGGUGGCUCACUUUCUCAUUAAAAUAUAUAUAUAGAACCACUUUUUGUAGAUUAGUAUAAGAAAAUAUUUACCCUGUUUUAGGGCAAAUGCUACCUAUUUGUGUCACCUUUUGCUGAACUGACUCACAGUUAGACAAUCCAUGGUUUAAUGCACAUGAAAUUACCUAUAUUUUAUACUGUUCAAUGUACAGAAGAAAGGUUACUGUAAACUGUGUUACGUUGGUGCUUCUGUGAAUUAAGUUGUGGUUUCAUCAUGAGUCUUAUGGUCUUAAGUGUUCUAUGUUUAUAAAAGACGAGUUUAAAAUUGGUUUACUUGAACAACAACAAAAAGGAGUUUCAAAAAACACAAAAAAAAAAAGUUGUUUGCUGAAAAAAUAAAAAAAAUGAAUUUCAUGUGAAAAAUUUAAAAAUAUUCCAGAAUAAGUUUGUGUUGGCUUGUGACGCAUUGAUGUCAUUUUUUUAUUGUGGACAAUUUAGAUGUGUUUGUGUUCAGCAAAAUGUGAUCGGUUUUUCUUUUAAAGAAAAAAAAAUCAGUGAAAAUUAUAGUGCCAAAUUCCAAAGGUACUUUCUUCCUAGAGCUUCAGUGUGUUUCUUGUGUGAAGUAAUUUGAUAACAUGGGUAUUUUAUUAUGUGUUUUGUAUAAAUCCCUAAUAUUUAAAGAAAAAAAGAGGUUAAAAAGUUUGUUAACUUGCUAUCCUGUGGUCUUGUUGCCUGAAAUUGUUAUUGUUUGUUAUUUCUCUUUGAUGUUUUUUUGUAAAACAUUGUAUAAGUGCCCAUGUUUCACUUUUUUAACCACUCUGCACAUCAAUGCUGUGAAAGCAAACCUCACAAUGUAUUUUCUUCAUAAUGUAUUGAAACCUCUAAGGUGAGAAAGUUUUGAACUUUUAACCCUUUCCACCCAGAGCUGUCUUGAGUGUUAAUACCUUUUAUACAUUCACCAUUUUGCUGUUUAUUUUUAUAUAUAUAUCUAUAUCUAUAAAUAUAUAUAUACUUAGUUUUUUGUGGUUUAUUUAAUACAUGGUUGAAAUCAGAAAAAUGCACAGGGCAGAUCUGAAGGACAAAAAAAAAUAUUUUACUGCUGUCUAAAUUUCUUCUGUAUCUAUAACUAAAAUUAUUUAAAACAGUAAUUAACUUGUGGUUUUCCUUUUUAGAUUUUGGGGAUUUUUGUCUUUUCUUAAAGAGCUUUUAAUAUGCUGCUGGAAUAUGCUAUUCAGUAUUAAUAAAAUAAAAUAAAAAAACAAUUCUUUAAUUAUCUAUUGUGUGAGCUGCUCCCAAACCGGGGCAGCAAAGCCACCAUUUGAAAAACCUUGAGGAGAAAAAAAAAGAUAUUUUUGUAACUAAAUAAAUGAACUUUUGCUUAAAUCAGAUUCACUAGAUCUUCCUGGAUGAAAAUUCAAUGUGCACUGCAAUUAAACUACUUUUUAGGGAAUAAAGUUUACAUACACUGUAACACGUGGUGUUAGUUGCCAUUAUCUGUAAUGACAAGAUACAGCCCCCCCCCCCCGAUCCUCCAGACACUGAUGUACCCGAGUAACUUUACUCGUACCAGUAGUCAGCGGAAAUGCAAAUGUGGCUUAAGUGGGUGUUAGCUAGGUGGACUCCUCUAUAAGGAACCUGAAAACAAAUGCUGGUAGCCCUUCACUGCCUUUUCAGUUUGGUUAGAUCGCACAUCUCCCGCACAAGUAGUGACCAGUGGCCAGAUCUGGUUCUUUGCUACUGGCAGCUAGAAUCCAUUGCCAGUCCAAGGCGUGCAAGCAGCCGUCCCUGCUGCUGAUAUCAAAGUGCCAUACCUUUUUCCAUGACCUAGUCCUAGCUGAUUACUUUCAAAGCCUCUUAAUAUUAAUAGGAAAGCCCGAUAUGAACAAGAUGCAAAAUGCAAGCGGUGCACUCUGUCUCUUGCCCCCAGCUUAAAUGCUUGUUUAUGGAGAAGCCCUGGGAUGGAAAGGACUAGCCUCUAGUGAUGC